UACAGAGGUCUCAAGCGUUGUUCGGAUUCAUUGGGCGUAAAGGGUGCGUAGGCGGCGCGGUAAGUCGGGUGUGAAAUCUCGGAGCUUAACUCCGAAACUGCAUUCGAUACUGCCGUGCUUGAGGACUGGAGAGGAGACUGGAAUUUACGGUGUAGCGGUGGAAUGCGUAGAUAUCGUAAGGAAGACCAGUGGCGAAGGCGGGUCUCUGGGCCGUAACUGACGCUGAGGAGCGAAAGCAUGGGGAGCGAACAGG
rnacentral:rRNA from 1 species